AGUACUUUGAUGACUUCAAGUGUGCUACUUACUCAAGAUCUAAGUUGGAUGAACUUAAGGAGGAUUGGUGUCAAUUCAUGAUUGAGUUGAAAGUUGUAUAGUGUUUUUAGCCCUUACUAUUCAGAGAUUGUGCUUUGAUUACGAUGACUGAACUUCAAAAUUAAAAUGAAUACGACAUUUCAAUUUUGUUCUACCUUCAUAAGAUAUUUACAGGACAUUGAAGGGUAAAAAGGUUACAGUUGCUGGCAAGAAGAAAAAGUAGAUAUUUAGCAUCCUUUUGACUUGUGUAAAAAAUAACAAUGUUUUGGAUGAUGCAAUUGUUUUCAUUGAAUUGGAUGUAAUUUUGUUGUU